AACCGAACAGUAUUUAUAUAAUUUUUUACUACACCAUGUCCAACUGCGUUCAGCACUCGGUUAGUGAUGUCUGAUCGCGCUCUGACAACAGCAGUGAUGUCUCGAGCAUAUACUUCAAUGAGUGCCAGACAUUACUUCCGCUGUUAGACCGCGAUCAGACCUCACUGGUGUAUUAGAGGUAAAAAAUGAUAUAAAUACUGUUCGGUUUCUCGCACAAACCGAUCUUUUCGUGUCUUAGGACAUAAAUGUGCCGCCACGAGCCGCAGGGUUUCAUUUGAAUUUGUCUAUGUAUAUGUUUUGACUCUUAUAAAUUGUGUUUCCAUUGACACCCAUUAUACAGCUGUCAGACGGCAACGGUUGGAGUUAAAAAUCAUCAUUUGUGUUCGACUGAAGAAACAAAGUCACCUACAUCUUGGCUGCGCUGGGGAUAAGCAGAUAAACAUCACAUUUUCAUUUUUGGGUGAACUAUCCCUUUAACAGGCUGAUAACAUUUAAUCUCCAGAAUAAUAUUUUGUGUCACUUAAAAUUUUAUUUUGAGAUAUCAGGUGUAUAACCAGUUUUAAGUUCUAGGUAUUUGAAAUCUUAAAUCUUAGUUUCCUGAUCAGUAUGUAACUGAUUUCUUGCAGAUGUUCAGAAGAUGCCCAUUUGGAAAACUGCUGAGUUUGUCAAGAGAAUGAGAGUUCGGCAGAAAUUAAAAAACGGAAAGGAAAAGGACAAAAGGUUUGCUGGUCAGAUGCUGAAGUUACAGCUGUAAUUGAUCAUUUUAAGGCACAACCUUAACCAAAGGAAAAUUGUGGACAAAACACAGGAGAUUUUGUAAGAAAUCAAGGAAUUAGCUUGAAAAGAAAAGCACAAAAUAAGUGAUGUUGCAUUGUGUCUCAUUUGAUGCUGUUGUAUAAGGAUUAUUAUUUUAGUUGUUGGUUAUGUUAGUUUCAUUCUAGAGCAUGAAUAUACUAAGACUUCACUCUGUAAAUCUCUAAAGUUUAACUGUUCUUUAAAGCAGUAGUUUGUCACAAAAACAUGACAAUUUAAUAUUCAACAUUAUUAUUGAUCUGACUGCAUUGACACUAUUGUAUGAGAACUGAAGAGCUGAGCUGCUGCUGCUGUAUAGAUGAAGUGAACUAAAUUAAUAACUGAUGAGUUUUACAACAUAAUUGAAUCAACACUGAACUGACUCGGGCUGAACAAUGACACGAUACUCUUCUAGAGCUGCUGUACAGCCCAAACAAUCUUUGUUGAACAAUGUUCCUGUUAUGAGGGCUGCUUUGAAACAAUAUGUAGUUUAAAAAGCGCUUUAUAAAUAAAGGUGACUUGACUUGA